UGUGGCUAUUUUCUUGUGUUCUAGCUCCACAAAACCUCUAGUGUUAAUGAUUUGCAAUUUAAAAGCAGGAGAUAUAUGAAAGCAUUUAUUAUAUCCAAAAAGAUAAAAUUUAUAUAUUACACAUGAAAAACUUACAAAGCUCAACUUUGUGGGACACUUCUUAGAAUGUAAAGUUAAAAUUACAGUGAAUGUACAACAUUUCAUAGUAUAAGCUCCUGUCUUUGAGCAAGAUAAUGACCAUUCUUUAGGAUUUUUAAAAUAAGAUUCUGUAGUAGUCAUCUCUGUAGCUAUACAGGAAUAGCACAGAUACCCUGCAAAAGAGAAAAGGUAGGAUCAAUAUAAAGGGCAAAGAACAAAGUUACUAACAGAUUUAGAACACCUUAUGUAUGAGUUCUGUUUAAUAAAAACAAGACCACGCUUGUCACUGAAAAAACUAGGGAAGUUUUACAGAAGUGGUGAUUGGCAAGGGUCUGUAGUGUACGGUCCUACAUGAAGGGAACACCAUGCCUUUUAAGCAGCUGGUAACAUGAAUGGCUGUCCUUCUGACAUGAGGACAUAGACAGCAAAGCAAUCACAGCAUUUCCCUUUCAUUUAGACAUUCAGAGUUACCUGGGUGACCAAAAUUCUAAGUGGGAUCACUACCUCUGGGACUGCUGGGUUUUGUUACUGACAAACCAUGGCUGAUUCAUUGUCCUGAGCAAGCCUUACUGGUUAUCAGGGGCAAUUCUGACAUAAUCGCUUAUCAGCCAUCAAAACUCAACAAGACAAUAAAAUAUGCCAUUUUGAAAUCCCUCAAGUUUUAACCCACAUUGAACAUGCAGUACCUCGGUGAUAACUUACUUUUUUUCUACUUUGAUGUUAUAAAUCUCAUCACAGACUAAUUUGAGGUAUCUUUGCUUUGGCAGGCGGGACAGCAGCUGCUUCACAGUUGUAUUAAAUGCCUGUUCGUCAGCAUCCCACUAGGAAAAAAUAGAUAAGCCUUAAUGACAGCCCAUCCUCUCACAAAUGUGUCAUGGAAUUUUCCAGAGACUGUAUAAUGGGUGAUAGCACAACAGACUGAAUGCAGAAGCAGAUGACAAUCUAGUUUUUUCUAUCAAAGUGUUAAAGAGAUUACAAAAAUGGGAAAAAAUGCAUUAUCUGUAAAAACAUGUAAGUGUUGCUCUUCUUAAAUUUCUUUGGUUUUGGAGAAUAGCUAUUUUUCAUUAAAAAUGUCAGAUUAGCAUG